GACGAACGCUGGCGGCGUGCUUAACACAUGCAAGUCGAACGGAAAGGCCCUGCUUUUGGGGGGUGCUCGAGUGGCGAACGGGUGAGUAACACGUGAGUAACCUGCCCUUGACUUUGGGUUAACUUCAGGAAACUGGGGCUAAUACCGGAUAGGAGCUCCUGCUGCAUGGUGGGGGUUGGAAAGUUUCGGCGGUUGGGGAGGGACUCGCGGCUUAUCAGCUUGUUGGUGGGGUAGUGGCUUACCAAGGCUUUGACGGGUAGCCGGCCUGCGAGGGUGACCGGCCACAUUGGGACUGAGAUACGGCCCAGACUCCUACGGGAGGCAGCAGUGGGGAAUAUUGCACAAUGGGCGGAAGCCUGAUGCAGCAACGCCGCGUGCGGGAUGACGGCCUUCGGGUUGUAAACCGCUUUCGCCUGUGACGAAGCGUGAGUGACGGUAAUGGGUAAAGAAGCACCGGCUAACUACGUG
rnacentral:rRNA from 1 species